CAGCAGCCGCGGUAAUACGAAGGGGGCUAGCGUUGUUCGGAUUUACUGGGCGUAAAGGGCGCGUAGGCGGGCGAUUAAGUCAGGGGUGAAAUCCCAAGGCUCAACCUUGGAACUGCCUUUGAUACUGAUUGUCUUGAGUUCGAGAGAGGUAAAUGGAACUGCGAGUGUAGAGGUGAAAUUCGUAGAUAUUCGCAAGAACACCAGUGGCGAAGGCGGCUUACUGGCUCGAUACUGACGCUGAGGCGCGAAAGCGUGGGGAGCAAACAGGAUUAGAUACCCCCGUAGUCCCUGUCUCUUAUAC
rnacentral:rRNA from 1 species